rnacentral:pre_miRNA from 1 species
UAGGGUGACCAGCUGUCCGGGUUUGCCUGAGACUGAGAGGUUGCCCGGAAUGCAGGACUGUCAGAGCUAAACGAGAGCAGUCCUGGGCAAACUGGGAUGGUUGGUCACCCUACUGAAGA